CCAGGCCAGGGCAUGGAUGCUCAGAGGAGGUCAGCGAUUUGCCUGAUGGGCACAGGGCUGCGAAUCCACUCCAGGCCGUCUGGCCCCACUUCCAGUCACUGCUCAGCUCGGUGUGCCAGCCAGGCUGAUGCGAAGCAGGCUGCGCCCCACCCCCUCCCGCCCGCCGGAGAUCCCCAUCCAGGCUGUCUACUUAAUACCCCAUUACUGGAGAAAAUAUACAGCCAGCUCCCGCCGGCCUCAGCUGCCCAUUCCUCAGCACAGAUCAAAGCUGCGCUAGAUUCCCGCCUAGAAGCUCUGUAAACAGACUGCAGACUUGGGGAGAAAGCAGCCCAAAGGACUCCCCAACUCGGCAAAAGGACCAGGCACCUCAUUCACAAAGCCUGCCAGCCUCUGCACCACCCACGUACCUCUUGACCAUCACGGGGGUUAUGACUGUCCUGACUUACACCUACAGGAAGGCUGUGCUCUUUCCAAGGCAGGAAGCAGAUUUUGAGAGGGUCAAGGUUCCCUAGAGGAGGCACAGCCUGGGGAGAGAUCCGGAUACACAGCAGACUCUCUACCUGGCCACCCGUGGGACAGGGACAGCAAGAACUGUGCUGAAACUACCGGAUGCCCAUGCCGUCCCAAGCUCUGGACAUAACCCACGCAAAACUCAGCCUUGCCCUCCAGUGCCGUCUCCUGGUCCCCAAGGCUGCUGGAGAACGGCACCGUCGCCCAUCUGAGGACAGCGUCCCUUGGCCCCCACCCCACCAUCCUUCCCUGUCCUCCUGUGUCCCCUUCCUGCUACACUCCCCACACUGACCACCCAUCAUUCUCUAAACGGCACAUCUGAUCAGGUGGUUCCACUCCCAGGGGAGACUCCAGACACCUGGCACACCCCCUAAGUCCACCUCCUGAGGGGCUGCUUAGCCACCAGCUGCGGAUAAGUGGACAGAUGAUGCUUCCUGUUCCGCAGCAUGUGCAUCCCACAGUGGGGACUUCCUCCCUCCCGUGUCCCAUCCAUCCUUGCAUGCACCUGUCUGUAUACCCCUGGCCUGCCCAGCAGGGCCCCCCUAGCUGGGUCAUCACCCAGCCCCACCUCCCUGGGGCCACCUCUCCCCUAGCCCUCUACCUGGGAGCCAGGAAGAGCCCUCGGGAGGGACCCACUGCCCGGGAGCCCAUGCAGCAGGCAUGGGGUGCAGAGGGCAGGGGUCCCCUUCGCGUUCCACCCAAAGGGACCCUGACAGGUCCCCAUCUUUACUUUCUCCCACUAGGGAUGAAGCAGCAAGCACAGGGCGAACCAAGCAAUUUCCCACACCCAGUGGGGCUCGGCAAGCCAAUCUGAACACAGAAUAAAACUCUGGCCUCCGUGAGGGGGCACCGCAAACAGCGUGAGCGCAGCGGUUGCCACCACCACCCUCUGCCCUCCACCCCCUACCCCAGGCAGGGAGCACGGCUGGCCAGAGAUGCUGCGCUCGGCUGCCAAUUCCCCGGCUCAGCAGAAAGCCUCCAUUUUGCAGGGAGAAAUUAAUGAAAGGGAGAAGCCUGGGAAAUUACGAGUUGCCACCUGCAAUUUCUCCUUCCAAGGAAAGUGGAGCGAUGGCUGAUUAAAGCUGCAGCCGCCCUGCCAGGCUGGGCCAGCAGCUGAGGCUGUCAGCCUGCUGGGAGGCAGGUGGGAGGCGAUGGGGAGACUCCUGGGGACCCAGGCUAGGCAGCCCCGCCCAGCAAACUCUAAGGCAGGGUUGGUGGGGGCAGCCUCCAACUGAGAGAAGCGUCCUUACCCGGCCAUUGCCACUCCUCAGCAGGCGGCUGGGGCUUCCGUGGUGAGCCACGGAACCCCAGAGAGUACAAGGCACUGGAUGCACCUCAGCCUGGUCCUGCAGGGGCUGGGGAGAAUUAGGGAAAUGGCCCUGAGGAGCUUCCUCCAUGCCUGGAGCUGCGCCCAUCACCACCACUGUGGCCACCAACUGAGCAGGAAACAGACUCGGGAGACCCCUCACUCAAGACCAGACCACAGCACCGCUGAGACCGAGCACUGCCCCGAGUCACCUAGGGGCACUGUGAGCUGAGGGAGGACAGCCACUGGGGAGGACCACACAGUGGUUAUGACUGGCAGCACACAGCUGCUGCAUCCCAGCCGUCCUCCUCCCCCUGCAUGAUGAGGGCAGAACUCGCUCUGGUCUCCACCUGAGCCUCCCUCUCCUGCUCCAGCCAAGUUCCACUAUUCCCAGCCUUUUGUCUGUCCUCAGGAAAGUCAGAGGACACCUGCGGAAGGCAACAGGACACUGUUCUGGGUUCCUCUAUCCCACCUAUUCUGCCUGGAGCAAGAUUGUUCCUCCCUUUCAAUAGUUUGGGAAGUUGUAGUUCCCUCUGAUUCUGACUAGGGUGUGAGUGGAUGCCAUCAGACCUCUUCUCGGGUUUGUGGAUCUGCAGCACCAGACUUCAAUUCUCAGAUGUGAAGAUGGUGUUUCAUAUGGGUGAGGAGCGGAGGAAUGGCCCCACUGGGACAGGCAGCCAUCAGCUCCAGUCCCUGACACCCAGCAUCAGGCAGAGAAUGCAACCACUCCUGCAGGCAAGCUUGCCUCCUGUGCAACCUCACACGACGACGUUAACUGCACACCGUUGUGGGAGCCUCACGGCCUCUCUGAGCCUUAGCUUUCUCACACUGUUCCCCAUGCAUCUGUGAGACCCAGGGGAGUUCCCUGGCUCCGUGGAUAGCUGGGAUGCAGCUGGCAGUGGAUCCUCCAGCCACCGCCAUAUCCCCGCUCGGCGGCCCUGGCUGUAUAUUAUUAUAAUGGCCUCGGCCAAUAGGGGCGCAGGCUAUUAGAAUGAGUUAAGACCAGAUUAAUCUGCUUAAAAAAAUAUGCCUGGUUUUUAUGCUGUGCAUUCCCUCCUAACAACUCAGGCUCCUUCCAGGCCAUUAUCUCAUUUUACCGUUAAUUCAAUUCCAUAAACAUGUAUUAAGUGUCUAUUAUGUGCAGAGCCCUGGUCUGGUGGCCUGGUGGGGUGAGGGGCCAUGGCAGGGGGCAGACCCAGCCCACAAGGUGCUGACAACCAUGCAGAGGACCACUGACCCCAGCCCCAUGCCACCAGGCCAUGAGGCAGGAGAGUGACGCCCACUGCCUGGAGCCGGCCAGGGAUGGUGGAGGAAGGCAGAACACCUGGUACAGACGAGGGCCCCCUGCAUGCCACCCCCAUCCCACAUGUAGGCACGCAGCCCUUCCGACCACCGAGUCCUACAGCGGA